rnacentral:rRNA from 1 species
AGAGUUGAUCCUGGCUCAGGACGAACGCUGGCGGCGUGCCUAAUACAUGCAAGUAGAACGCACAGUUUAUACCGUAGCUUGCUACACCAUAGACUGUGAGUUGCGAACGGGUGAGUAACGCGUAGGUAACCUGCCUGGUAGCGGGGGAUAACUAUUGGAAACGAUAGCUAAUACCGCAUAAUAUUAAUUAUUGCAUGAUAAUUGAUUGAAAGGUGCAAAUGCAUCACUACCAGAUGGACCUGCGUUGUAUUAGCUAGUAGGUGAGGUAACGGCUCACCUAGGCGACGAUACAUAGCCGACCUGAGAGGGUGAUCGGCCACACUGGGACUGAGACACGGCCCAGACUCCUACGGGAGGCAGCAGUAGGGAAUCUUCGGCAAUGGACGAAAGUCUGACCGAGCAACGCCGCGUGAGUGAAGAAGGUUUUCGGAUCGUAAAGCUCUGUUGUAAGAGAAGAACGGGUGUGAGAGUGGAAAGUUCACACUGUGACGGUAUCUUACCAGAAAGGGACGGCUAACUACGUGCCAGCAGCCGCGGUAAUACGUAGGUCCCGAGCGUUGUCCGGAUUUAUUGGGCGUAAAGCGAGCGCAGGCGGUUAGAUAAGUCUGAAGUUAAAGGCUGUGGCUUAACCAUAGUACGCUUUGGAAACUGUUUAACUUGAGUGCAGAAGGGGAGAGUGGAAUUCCAUGUGUAGCGGUGAAAUGCGUAGAUAUAUGGAGGAACACCGGUGGCGAAAGCGGCUCUCUGGUCUGUAACUGACGCUGAGGCUCGAAAGCGUGGGGAGCGAACAGGAUUAGAUACCCUGGUAGUC